rnacentral:rRNA from 1 species
UACGGAGGGGGCUAGCGUUGUUCGGAGUCACUGGGCGUAAAGCGCACGUAGGCGGUUUCGCAAGUUGGGCGUGAAAGCCCGGGGCUCAACCCCGGAGGUGCGCCCGAGACUGCGGGACUGGAGGCCGGGAGAGGGUGGUGGAAUUCCCAGUGUAGAGGUGAAAUUCGUAGAUAUUGGGAAGAACACCGGUGGCGAAGGCGACCACCUGGCCCGGAGCUGACGCUGAGGUGCGAAAGCGUGGGAGCAAACAGG